rnacentral:miRNA from 1 species
UUACCUUGUGGGGUUGGAGAGCUGGCUGGUCCAGCCCCUCAGAGCUCUCCCCUCCCCGCAG